rnacentral:lncRNA from 1 species
CGCAUCUUCCCAUUGGUACCUCAACAUUCCCGAUGGGACAUUUUGCAAUUUUUCUUCGAGGCUUAUGGGUUUUUUAAAAUAUUCUUUUUUCAAACUGCUUUUAUGGUCUCUCCAUUUUUUACCCAAUGCCUUCUUGAUAUAGGCAUCAGAGACCUCUAAAGCAAACCUCUCCUAAAAAACACAAGUUUAGGAAUUAAAUA